GGACCCCUGUGACGUCCAGCUCUGGGCUCUGAUCUGUGACGACACGGUGCUCCCCCGGGACUUUAGCCCCCGGGGGUCUGAAGGGUCC